rnacentral:rRNA from 1 species
UACGUAGGGUGCAAGCGUUGUCAGGAAUUAUUGGGCGUAAAGAGCUCGUAGGCGGUUUGUCGCGUCUGCUGUGAAAACCCGAGGCUCAACCUCGGGCCUGCAGUGGGUACGGGCAGACUAGAGUGCGGUAGGGGAGAUUGGAAUUCCUGGUGUAGCGGUGGAAUGCGCAGAUAAUCAGGAAGAACACCCGUGGCGAAAGCGGCUCUCUGGAACGGUACUGACGCUGAGACGCGAAAGCGUGGGGAGCAAACAGG